AUUUAAUUUAAGACUCAAUUAUUUUUAUGUUAGUAUCCAGUAUUAUUUUUAGUAGGCCAAGCCAAGUUCAGCCUACUAUUUUUUAGUAGGCCAAGUCUAUCUUGUAAUUUGCCGUAGAAUAGAUAUCUGAUAAGGGUGUUUUUGGUUCAUCUAUUUGAUAGAAAAUAAGUGUCCAAAUAAUUAUACUAAUCUAACUAACCUGUUUGGUAAACUCUUUAAAAAAGCAAUUGAUAACUAAUAAAAUGAUUGUCAACUUUAUUUUCUUAUUUCCCUUAGUAAUUUUUCAGGGGGAAAAAAUCGAUUAGCUGGAACAUCAAAGGAGUCAUGAUUCAACUCAUAACCUCAUCCAUCCAUUUAUAAAAAUGUGAAUCUUAAUUUGGGUUAUAAAACUAAAACGGAUGGCAUAAAAAGACAAGAAGUAGAUAAAGUUGUUGAGUGCAAUUUAAACGUGAAUAUAAUCCCCACCAAUACCUUCCUUGUUAAUGAAUUCCAAUUCUCCACCACAUGUUACCAGUCGCCACUCUCCACUGGACCACUUCAUUUUACGUAAAUAAAUAGCUUCCUCCUGAUUGCACAAUCUCACAGAUCCUAGUGAAGGUAUAGAAAUCAUGGGUUCCAAUGCUCAAAAAUCAGCUCUCAUACUAUGCGGGGACUACAUGGAAGAUUAUGAAGUGAUUGUGCCAUUCUUUAUGCUUCAAUCCUUAGGUUUGAGGGUCGAUUGUGCCUCUCCCGGCAAGCGUGCCGGUGAUAAAUGCUUCACUGCCAUUCAUGAUUACUUGGGCUUCGAGCUAUACACAGAACUGCAAGGCCAUUUCUUCACGCUUAAUGCAAACUACGAGGACGUAACUGUAGAAUCCUAUGAUACCCUCAUAAUACCUGGAGGCAGGUUCACUGAGCUCCUCAGCGCCGAUGACAAGGUGGUCGGUAUGGUAAAAAGAUUUGCAGAAACAGGGAAGCCUUUAAUCACUAGCUGCCACAGCCAACUCAUGUUGGUAGCAGCAGGACUCCUCAAUGGCAAGAAAUGCACUGCUUUUUCCAGCUUGAAACCCAUCAUUGAGCUUGCAGGAGGCACCUGGUGGGAGCAGCCUGGUAUAGAAUCGGUUCUUGACAUUACCGCUUGUCUAAAGGACGGCAAUCUUGUUAGUUCCAUUGGGUGGCCAGGACAUGGUGAAUAUAUGAGAGUUCUCCUUGAAUCCAUGGGAGCCAAAAUUUCAAGAUCUCUCAGAAACUCAGUACUGGUUGUGUUAGCGGAUUAUGUAGAAGAUUACGAGGUAAAUGUGCCAUUCCGGACUCUACAAGGUUUGGGCUGCAAGGUUGAUGCAGUUUGCCCAAGCAAGAAAAAAGGGGAGAGCUGCGUUACCGCCAUCCACGAUGACGAGGGAGCCCAAAUAUGCAGCGAAAAGCGUGGCCAUAACUUCGUCGUUAAUGCCAAUUGGAGUGACAUUUCUGUAGAUGACUACGAUUGCUUGGUGUUGCCUGGAGGCAGGUCCCCAGAGUUGCUGGUCAUAAAUGAGAAAGUGGUUUCUCUGAUUAAGGAAUUCGCUGACAAGGGCAAGAUCAUUGCAGCAAUUGGACAAGGGAAGGGGCUUCUGGCUGCUGCUGGUGCUCUAAAGGAGAAGAGAUGCGCGAGUAGCCAUGGAAUGAAGGCCAUCGUGAAGGUGGCUGGUGGAGAAGUAGUGGAGUCUGAAGGGUGCGUGGCUCACGGCAAGCUAGUGACUGCUAGUGGAUGGCCUGCUCUUCCAGCCUUUUUAACAGAGUUAACAAGAGCCCUUGGCUUGUCUGUGGUGUUUUGAGAUGGGGAAGGCUAGCUUCGAUUUCCUUGUGUUUGUGCAAUGUUGAAUAAAGCGUGUAACAUUUGAUGCGAUUGCAGAAUCUAAUGAAAUCAUACAAUAAUGUUUGGGACUUCGUAAUCAUCAAAUGUCUGGAAAUUUGCAGAUUAACUGCCGACUCUGGUUUAAUAAUCUCGAGUCUACAAAGAGGGUUCACAUAUUUUCUGUUUAUUGUGAUGGUGAGGGAAUUGUCCCAUACUGCUUAGGAAGAACAAGAACUAAUAGCUUAAGUUGGUUUUGAAGUCGAUACGGUUCCAAAAUCGCGAACAUUUCUUGGUCAUUCUACAGCCAUGUGGAAAGUACCUUUUGAUCAAUACGUUAUUCAUUGACUGUAGUAGACCCUUGAAGAUAUGGUUUUUCCGGCUCCAUUGUUUUCACUUUACGAUUAUAAAGUUUAGGACCUAGCUUUAGAUAUAUACAAUUUUUUAUUGAACUCUAAUUAAUUAAAAUUUUGAUAUUUUAUAAUUAUAAAAAAAUAAAAUGUAUGAAUAUUUGGAGAAUGAAAUUUGUAAAAAAUAAAAUGUAUGAAUAUUUGGAGAAUGAAAUUUGU
rnacentral:misc_RNA from 1 species